CCCAGCAUGGUGUAGUGGUUUGAGUGUUGGACUAUGACUCUGGAGAUCAGGGUUCAAUUCCCUGCUUAGGCA